UAUAUUUUUUCUAUUUCCGAAGUGUCACCACCUCUCUUUUACUCUCAUUAUUUACAAGCAUCAGGUUGACGCGUACCCGACCAGCCGCUAGUAGACGGUAUUUUCGGUCAACAAUUGCAAAACCCUAGAAUGCAUUUUUAAGCUGCAGACACACACCAAAGUUAGUUCCGUCUAUAUGAAUAGCGAACCAAAUUAUACUCGUAAAUCUCUCUCGCGGGGGAAGUGAUGAGCAACUUCAUACAGGUAUGUCAUAAUUCAUAUAUAUAUAUUUAUGUAUGUAUGUAUUUGUGUAUAUUUUGCCUCUCCUUUCAGCUGCAAAGGCAUAGAUCUGAUGAUCUGUUUAUUGAUGGCUUUGUUCUGGAGGCAUAUAUUUAAUCUCCAAAGUUUUAGGGGUUUAGUUUAAACCAAGGGCGGAUCUAGGAUUUCUCAAUGAUUUUUUUUUAGUUCUGAAAAGAUUUCCAUCUUCAAAAAGUUUUAGGCAUAGAUCUGAUGAUCUUUUUCUUGAUGGCUUUGUUCUGGAGGCAUAUAUCAAUGAUCUAGGCAUGUUGACAAAAAUUGUUUCAGAUUCAAUCUCUGCUGAUUUCUAAUCCAAUAUUUUUUUUUUUCAUGCCCAGAUUCAAAUUUUCUUAUAGACAUAAUUGACCAAAAAAUAUAUAUAUAUAUAGAAAUAAAAAUAUAUAUAUUUGUUUUGCUGAAAUAAAAUGUAGAUGACGGUGAUUACCUCAAAAUGCAAUGCAAAUUUUGUUCCUUUAUAUUGUAAUAUAUAUAUAUAUAAAAGAUCAUAAAAAAUUUCACCAAAUAGGAUUUAGUUUGCAAAACAAGAAUUACAGACCUUGAUUAGUUGAUUUAGAAAAAAUUUUGAAACAAAACCCAUACAUACAGAACUGGAACAGCGGGCGAUGGAAUUUUGAACUUUUGAUUCUUGCAGACAGAUGGAUAAACUGAAAUAUAUGGGUUUUGAACUUCUGAUUCUUGUAGAUUUUUUAGUUUGCAAGUUCAGAGUUGAGAACGAGAAUAGAGAUGGAGGCGAUUGGGGAGGCUGAAAUGAUUUGCCCUAAAAUAAUUUUUUUUUCUCUGGUGGCCCAUCAUACAUGGGCCUAUAAAUUUGGAGGCCCCAUGAAUUCGCAAGCUUCAGCCACUGGCCCGUGUCUCUCAACUCUCAAGCUUGCUCCCCUCUCUCUCUAUCUGCAACUGCUAACUUGUAUGUAUGGGUUUUGUUUUAAUAAUGGGGUGACUGAGUUGACUUGGGCUCGAUUGGGUGGGCUAAUACUAUUAAUAAAUUUUUUGUUUUUGGGCUGGGCUACAAUAAGUAUAGUAAAUAUUUUUUUUUAAGGUCCGCCCUUGGUUUAAACUAGGAGUUGUGGUUUUUGCUACUCUGUUCUCCCCUUAUUUGGUACAUUUCCAUUAGAAAAUUAAUUUAUCUUGCUUUUCUAUAGUAGCUUUGUGCUCCGAUAUUGACAUUGCAUGAAAUUAAUAUUUAUACUAAUUUUAUAUCUAAACAGAGUUGGUUUGCUUGUUUUAGAUUGUCUUCUUGGCAACCAUACAAAUUAUCUUUUGUCUUGAUGUCUUCCCUAAAACAUUUUUGUUUUUCAUAAGUUGAUAUAUUUGCAGCAUUAGUUUUGAUUGCGUUGGAUCUAGUAAUUUUGAUUAAUGGAGGUCUUGGGAGUUGGGACAGGCAAAAGAGACACUUGCUGCGGCAUGUAAUUUUGAUUAUGUUUUUAUUAUUCAAGGUUGUGACAUUUAGGCAAAGCAUGUAUUAAAGAUAAUUUUGAUUAUGUUUUUAUUAUUCAUGGUUGUGACAUUUAGGCAAAGCAUGUAGUAAAGAUUGCAUUGUUACUUUUUUGUUUAUAGAGAAAUGGUAGGCGCUGUUGUUUGGCAACUGUGGUAGCAACUUGUUGCACAAGUGAAUGGAAGCUUUACACUAUUUGAGUAGUUUAUUGUAAACAAAAAAUUAAACUGAGAUUCCCUUUCAUGUUGUUCUUAGGUGGUUUGGGACCAUGUGAUCUUUGUCAAUCACAAAAUACACCAAAUGUGUCUGUAUUAUGUGAUUGGCCGGGACCAUAUGAUUAAGGACUACCUAAUACUUUAUAGAUCCUCAAUAUCUUUAUAUGUGAAACUUUUUCAAGAUCUACACAUGGCAUUUAAUGUGAUAAAUUAACUGAAAUUCUAGCAAGGAAAGUGAUUCUUAGUGUUAUGCCAAUUUGUCUAACUUAAGGAUUCUUAUCCCUUUGAUGUAGUAGAUAAGAUCCACAUUUGAGUUUAUCCACCAUAUCAAAGGGAUAAAAACUCCAGGCUUGACAGUUGAGCCUAACAAAUAGGCGUGAGUAUCAUAGUGUUCUAGCAAAGCUUGUCCCAUUAUCAAUAAUCAACUUCACUUAUUUUUCAUUACAGUCAUACAAGAAAAGUACUAAAACACUAACAAAAAUAAUAAUAAAAUUAAUGUUACCAUUAUUAACAGUAGCGUAGAGUGGAUAGAUAAUAAAGCAAAUGAGUAAUUAAAUCCAACAGUGCACAAAUAUUCUAGGAAUAAUGACUUUUUUUAAUUUGUAUUGUUUUUGAAGUCAGACACUUUAGGCAAUUAUUUGCAAACUUCUUUGACUCUAUUCUACUAAUAGGUAGUACACCCACAUUAAAAUAAAUGAUCAUAAUUCCUUAAAAUAACAUUAAAUGCCAUGCACUCCUACAUUAAAAGAAAUUAUCAUAAUUUCUGAAAGUGUGUUGAGCUAUCCUUUACAACAUCUAUAAUGGUGGAAGUAUAGUAAAUUUGUCAAAUUGAAAGGGCAUGUCAAUUUUUUACUUUUGUUUUAUUCAUAAACUCAAAGUAAGGUGCUUGUGUUCUUAACUGGUGCUGCCAGUGUUGGCUAGCAUUUCUCUUAUUUAAAUAAUACAAAAUUCUAUGAACAUCUUUCCCUUAUUUUUAGAUUUGUGCAUUCCUUGAUAUUGUGGAUUUUAAUUCUUUUUAAACAUAUAAUCAAAGUCACUACUUAAAUUGCUUUUUUCGACAUUAAAAAAGGAUCAAGAUACAUAAAGUUGAAAAUCCUCGAAAUUACCUUAAGCUGAAUCGUUGUGUUUAUCCAUUAUCCAUUUAUUCUUAAUGUUGUUGUGACACAAUGCCUCUCCUUUCGGCUGCAAGGACAGAGAUCUGAGUAGGAUCAAUUUAUUGAUAGCUUUGUUCUGAAGGCAUAUAUUUGUCUCAUGCAAAGUCUUGGGGGUUUGAUCUUAUCUGGAGUAUGUGACCUUCCUUUUGUGGCUCCUCUUUCUUUGUCAAGUUUUUUAAUAGAUACAUGUUUCUCUUCUUCUUUUAUUUAUUUAUUUAUUUUUAUUAGAGAAAUGUUGAUAAUUUUUAGUUAAAACAUUUCUAUAUGUCUAGAUUCUACUCAUAGUUACUGAAAAGUUGAGGAAUAUGAGAUCUUGAAGCUUUAGUAUGUCAAGUAAGUUAGUAUGCAAAGUUGUCCUUAGUUUUGGAUAAUAUGAUUUGAUGUUGGUUUUGGAGGAUAUAAUACUGAAUAUUAGUUUGGAGAAUAUAAUGCUAAAUGAUCAUGUUUAAUGAAUUGCUUACUGAAAAAAUUGCUUAUUACCAUACUAGUGUUUUGGUAAGUUUCUGUUUUGUGUACUGAUUCAUAGUUUAGAAUCAGUUGCUUUGUUUGGAAACAUUUGUUUCUAUAAUAGUUGUAAUAAUUUUUGGAAAAUAUGGUCUUCGUGAAUCUAUCUUACUAGCCUACUAUACUCUGAGUUGGUAAUGACAAUUGUGGAAAUAAUGGGAUAACUAGGGUAGUAACAGUCAGGAACUGCACAUUUCAUAUCACUUUUCUAUCGGAUUCCCAAUCAAUAUGAUCUGUCUAUGAAUUUAUGUUACAUGGACUCAGAUAAGUGUGGAGGGUAUAGGGAUGGGUUUUAUUUAUUCUUUAUUAUUAUUAUUAUUUCCUAAUUCUAAGUAAUAGAAAGUAUCGCAUUUUAUACGCAUUUUUCUAAGCAUUAGCUUGACUUAUACCCAACCACGGCAAAUUGUAUUGUUGUUUAACAAUAGCAAAAACCCCAAAAUGCAUUUUCAAGCGGCAUACGUAGCUCAAUUGUUCAUGUUGUAUAUAGCCAAUCAAAAUAAUAAUAAUAUUGAUAAUGUCUAUUUUGAGAUGAUUUUGUGGUUCAUAUAUAUAUAUAUAUAUAUAUGGUGUGUAUUUGUGUAUUUUUGCCUAACCUUUCAGCUGCAAUGGCAUAGAUUUGUUGAUCUGUUCCUUGAUGGCUCUGUUCUGGAGGCAUAUGUUCAAUACCCCAAAGAUUUAGGGGCUUAUUAUUAACUAGAGUUACUGUUCUUGCUACUCUGGUUUCCUCUUCUUUUGUAAAUUUCUAUUGUAAGAUUAAUUUUCUUUUCUAUAGUAGCUAUGUGCUCCAUUUGGUUGCCUAGAAAUUGCAAGAAAUUAAAGUUUAUGCUAAUGUUAAAUCUAUUCAGAAUUGGUGUGGCUCUAUUUUAGAUUCCUUUCAGUAUACAAGCUUUCCAAGUCUUCUAGGCAACCAUAAGGGUCGGAUGGAUCAUUUGUUGCAAGUUUGUGGCUUGAUGUCAACGUAUAUCCAUCAUGUUUCUCAUAAGUUGAUCCAUAUACAGCAUUAGUUUGAUUGUAUUGGAUCUAGUGAAUUCAUCAAUGGUGUAUUGGAUUUAGUAAUUCAUCAAUGGUGGUCUUGGCAAAGGACCUUUGCUGUAUCAAGAGAGGAAUUUUGUCACUAGGGUUAUAUUUUAUUACUAAGUAUGAUUGUAAUUUACGCUAUCGAUAAAGAGAACCCUAUUUGUGUCAGCAUCAUUUUGAACUAUCGAUAAAGAUGCCAAAUGUGCCAGCGUCAUAGGUUGAAAGGCAGUGUUAAUGAUAUGUCUUGCAAACUUUUUAAACUUGAUUCUACUAAUAGGUUGAAAGGCUGUGACGGAAUAAAUAAAUCAUAAAAAUACAAAAAAUAUUUUAUUCAAAUAAGUCAUAAAAAUACCAAAAAAAAAAAGUUCAUUAGAAUGUUUCAAGACUUCAUGAAAAUUUAAGUACAUACUUGAUUGAAAAAUGAAAUGAAAGAACAUAUAAAAAUAAGAUUAUAUAUUUAUUUUUUUGCCUUUGGUUUUCAUGAUUUAUUCUCUUCAUAUCUAUUUUUCAUGAUUAAAGAAAAGAAUAGUUUCUUAAAAAAAAUAAUAAUAAUAAUAAAACACAAAACAAAAGAAAACAUUUUUUAGAAAUGGAAAUUACUAAUUAUUUCUUCUCUCUCCCUUCUUUAUGAAAAAAAAAAAAAAAACGUAACCUAUUUGAAUUACUUUUGAAUGAGAAAGUCAAUAAAAUUAUUUAUUUAUUUAUUUGCCUUUGGAUUUCAUGAUUUAUUCUCUUCAUAUCUAUUUUUCAUGAUUAAAGAAAAAAAUAGUUUCUUCAAAAAAAAAAAUAAUAAUAAUAAAAUACAAAACAAAAGAAAACAUUUUUUAGAAAUGGAAAUUACUAAUUAUUUCUUCUCUCUCCCCUCUUUAAAAAAAAAAAAAACAAUUGUAACCUAUUUGAAUAACUUUUGAAUGGGAAAAUCAAUAAAAUUAUUUAUUUAUUUUUUUGCCUUUGGUUUUCAAGAUUUAUUCUCUUCAUAUCUAUUUUUCACGAGUAAAGAUGUUUCUUCAAAAAAAAAUAAUAAUAAUAAAACACAAAACAAAAGAAAACAUUUUUUAGAAAUGGAAAUUACUAAUUAUUUCUUCUCCCUCUCCCCUCUUCAAAAAAAAAACGAACAAGUGUAACCUAUUUGAAUUACUUUUGAACGAGGAAAUCAAUCCUGAUCACUACUGUCUUUCUCGUGCAACUCGUUGGGGAGCUUAUAACCGUCUUUUAGAACAUGUGUUCCCGCAGGACAGGUUGAUUGAAGGCCGCCCAAUUUAGGUCUAAAAAGGACAAAAAUCCUUUGUAGGUAAAUGUCGGAUCACGUUGAUUUUCGCUUCGACAUUUACAAUAAAAGAGUAAACAACAUAAAUUAUUGUGGUUGAUUAUUAAGUUUAUUUUCAUUAAAAAAAAGUUUUUUCAAUAAAAUUUUUAUUUUUGUGGUAUAAUUUUCUCUUCAACAUUUUCAAUAAAGGAAUAAACAACAUAAAUUAUUGUGGUUGAUUAUCAAGUUUAUUUUCAUUUGAAAAAAAGCUUUUUCAAUUAAAUUUCGUUUCUACAUUUUCAAUAAAGGAGUAAACAACAUAAAUUAUUGUGGUUAAUUAUUAAGUUUAGGGCAAAUUGCAAAAAAAACUCUCUUUGACUAUUACUCAUUUGCAAUAAAUCUCAUUGUCAAUGUUUUUGGCAAGAACUCCUCAAUUACGAAGAGGGGAUGAUUUAACUUAAUUUCGUCUGCCAAUCUUGCGAGGUAAUUUUUUUUUUAUAAAAUUAUAAUGGAAGUAUGUAUUUAGCUUAUUUCGAAUUUUCAAAUUACACACUUUUUUGAAACGUGAGGAGUGAUUUAACAUUCACUAGGGGAAUUUCUUACAAAUGAGUGAUAGUCAAGGGAUUUUUUUUGUAAUUCGCCCUUAAGUUUAUUUUCUUUUAAAAAAAGUUUUUUCAAUUAAAUUUCUAUUUUUGUGCUAUAAAUUUCUAUUUAUUUGGAGAGGGAAAUAUUGAUUUAUAUUUCAUAUGGUAGGAAAUAAUUUAUAUUAUUUGGUACAAGAGAAAUUAUAAAGAAGUGUUGAAAGUGAGAAUAAAGGAAAAAUAUAAAUACAGUAUAUUAUUUAAGAUGCUUGAUUUUGUCUUAAAAUAGUGAUAAAGAAUAUAUAUUUUUUCUAUUUCCGAAGUGUCAGCAUUAGUUUGACGCGUACCGCUACUAGACGGCAUUUUCGGUCAACAAUUGCAAAACCCUAGAAUGAAUUUUUAAGUCGCAGACACACACCUAAACACCUAAGUUGUUCCGUCUAUAUAUAUAGCGAACCAAAUGAUACUCGUAAAUCUCUCUCGUGGGUGAAGUGAUGAGCAACUUCAAACAGGCAUAUAUUAGUCUCUGUUGAUGGUAGUUCGUGAUGAUGUGAGAAGAUCAUUCCACGUCUGUUGGGGAUGCUGAGAUCAGAGGUUGAGUAGAGUUCCUAGCUAGCACAAGGGACUCUCCGUAGAGGAGCUUGAGAGAGAGAAGGCAGAUUUGUUUAACACCCUAUGGUAGCUCGAGCCCUAGAGGACCAUUCUCAAUGGUUAUGGUUGUGCAUAUGUAUAUUUUUCAACUUCUCUAAAUGGUGAGAGUUAAGCUCUAUUUAUACUACUUUUAUUUGGGUAAGGACCCUUGGUCAUAAGAGCCAACGCUCUCUUUACCCAAUGGUCGCUUUACCUAGGUAAGGACCCCUUGGUAAUGAGGGUAGCUCAGUCUUUAUCCAAUGGUCAUUCUAUGAGAUAUAUAUUUAAUGUAUUAUGUGGUCUCUACUACCCGAGCUGAACUAUUAGGUAUUAAACAUUCUCUUCCCCUUGUGUAGACCUCGAAAUGAGGCGAUUCCAUGGAACUCAGCCACCUAACCACUGAUACUCAGAUUCCCGCAACUGAAGAUAGGGAAAGAGCCUUCCUCAGGGUUCCUCCUUCUCGGCCCCGCGGGCUCUAUCAUAUCCUGGAUCUGUGCCUCGAUGUCCCUAGAGUUAAAAGGGAGCUUGAGAAGAGAAAAAUACCCGAGGUUAUGCCUGCAGGAAGCAAACUCGGAAAUGAAGGGAGGAGGGGUCCAUCCGACUGGAGCGGGGCGCCUCCACAGGGGAGGAAGGGUAGCGACCCCUUCCUCGGUUAGUAAAUUCAGUUGUAGAACGAGUAGCUCGAGGAUACUUGGUCCUUUCAGGAGCCCUAUUAGCCAAGUGUGCUUAUUUUCAGAGAUGGUGUCACUCGAGCAGACGUCGUGGCACGUAUAUCAACAGGCUCAUGCAAAGUCUUGGGGCUUUAAUCUUAUCUGGAGUUUGUGACCUUCCUUUUGUGGCUCCCCUUUGUUAAGUUUUUUUUAAUAGAUGUAUGUUUCUCUUCUUUUUUUUUUCUUUUUUUUUGUCUUUAUUAGAAAAAUUAUUUAUAAUUUUUAGUUAAAACAUUUCUA